CAAGUGCAGAGCUUCUUUGACACAUCAAACUGAGCCAGAACUUCUUGUUUUACGACUGCAGCAGAGAAAAUGAGCAAACAGUUUGACGGGGCAAGCCUUCGAGCAGAAUUCGCAGCUCUCCAUCCGGCUCCAGCCCUCAGUUUAUCGGUCCAAUCCAGUUAUAUCUCGGAGCUCCAGAAAUAGUUCGGUGUGGCGAGGCUUCGGUACCACUCUUGCAUAGCUGCAGAAUUACAGUGUGCUGCUGCAGUGUCCCGUGUGGAGCUCAAGCCGCCAGGAUUUUCAAGGAUUUUCACCCAACAGCAGCAGCAGGACGAAGUGUUCCCUGUCAGGGUGUGAUUUCUCUGCAUCCAUCAUUUUAAAACCUCAUCAUCGGCUUAUAAACCUGCAUCACAUCUGACCUGGAGCCAAACGGGGCCCAUUCGAGGACAGCCACGCUCGGUGUGUUUAAAUGGAUAAAAAAAACGGGAUUUAAAGGGAGGUUUAACUGAAGAGGUCAAAUUAAGACAACAAAGUAGCAUCCUAAAUGACUCCAAAAAAACACCCCACAUGUAGUGUCAGAUGGAUGGAUACUCACCGUGGUUAAACAUUGCGGACCGAAACCGGUUGUUGCUGGACGAAUUUUCCAUCUCAAAGUUUCAAUUGGCGUCAACGGCUGCGACCUUUUCCCUCUUCUUCGGUAUUUCCUUAAUUUCCUCAGUGAACCUGAACUCAGCGGCAGUGAAAUGUGUGUGUGUGUGUGUGUGUUGUGUGGUGUAGUGCAGUGAGCGGACAGAGCCGUCUGCCCCUGUGACUGUGUUUGUAAAGCAGCAGCAGCAGCCUUCAGUCGUCGCCACGGUUCAAACUGUCGAGCCGCCUCCUGCCUGCCAGCCCGCUGACGUCAUGACGCAGGCUCCGCUGCGGCAGCGUCGGAAUGAAAACAAUCGCACGUGGAUGUGAUGGGAGCAUCGGCCACGUGCACCUGCGAGGAAACAAACUGCACCAAAACUGUUAGCAUCUCAGUGGCACAUUAUGAAGACAGACAUACACCGAUCAGCCAAAACAUUAAGACCAGCGACAGAUGAAGUGAAUCGCAUCGAUCAUCUUGUUAUAAUGCAACGUUCUGCUGGGAAACCUUGAGUCCUGACAUUCAUGUGGAUGUUUGACAUGUACCACCCACCUAAACAUUGCUAGUCAAGCAACCCCCAACCUCCCAACCUCUCAUGGCAGCAGCAGUCCUUGAUGCCAGGUGUCACCCUAAGCAGGACAACACACCCCAACACACUGCAAAAACUGCUCAAGAGUGGUCCGAGGAACAGAACAGAGCUGCACCCUGGUUCCACACUUUCCAGAUCUAAAUCUUACUGAGCAUCUGUGGGAUGUGUGAGUUUUAGCAGCAUAAAGGAGACCAACAUAAUAUUAGACCAAAGAACUACAAACUCUUCACAACCUGCUCAAACUCUUGGUACAGGACCUCACCACACGGGUCAAGAAGGUUUCCAUCUCAUUUCUACUCUGAAGCUCACCUUCUCAAACUACUGACAAAUGUUUCUGCUGCUCUACAGUCUGGUCUCCAGAACUUUCUAAAAACUCUCAAAGUCUCUUCUGCUGCAGGUUGCUUUGUAGAACUGUUCCAGAAAACCUCACUAAACCACAUGGAGGGGCCUCAAGAUAGUCGUCCAAAUGAAACCUUACAAAAACCAAACUAGCACAACCCAAACACUAAAGUCUCCUGCAGCCUACCAGAGAACCUCUGAGAACAGAGAAUCAGGACAGGAACUCUUACCUUCUGGACAACCAACGCUGGUUCUCAAGCAAGAAUACAGAAUGUGUCUGACCAAAAACCUCUAAAGACUCACUACAGCCAAGAUAAAGACACAACUCAGCUGCACCAGAUCCACUAAUCACUGCACACAUUAGCACCAUGUGCUAACUGUGGCUAAAGAACCACAUUUACCAAGACAACUAUCCAGUACAAAGCCCUAAAACACACCAAGAAACACAUUAAAGAUGAUUUUACUGCUGGAAGCUGCAAGCCAACACCUAAAGAACAAACUGAAGCAACAGAACCAAACCCAGUUCUGUGGUGAAGAGAAGCAGAGGAAAUGUUUGUCUGCAGCUAAAUAAAGCAGGAAGACACUGAGCUGCUCAGGUGUUCCUGAUAACACCAAGCAGCCACCUGGACAGCCAAUAGGAACGCAGCUUCCUGGAAGUCCAGAGGGCGGGGUUAGUGAAGGAAAUUUAAUUUAAAUUUGAAGCAGAAAGUUAACAAAGAAAGUUGAAAACCACCUUCUGAUCCCUGAAAUCUCUGAGUUUUCACACAAAGAACACCUGAACAUGUCAAACUGGUUUCAUAGUAGAACCAUCAUUGUAAAAACGUCAUAGUAUGGUGUGUUGCUACAAAAACAUUAUGACCCGGCUGUCAGGGGACAAACAUGUAAGAACCAUGAGAACAGAGAGAACCCAACCAGUAGGUCACAGUUUAUCAUCCCCCAGUCAUCUCCUGAAGUCCAUAUGGUGAGAGACAUCAGUAUCUGGUUGUUCAUUUACCAGAGGAUGCUUAUAAUCAUGCUGAUGUGGUCUGUACUCUACAGUAUUUUAGUGACUCAAUAAAUGCCUAAGUUGUUUUCUUUAAAAUGCUUUUUAGUUUUUAAUAAACAUUUAACAGCCUAUAUGUAAUCAAUAAAUGGCCUUUGCCUAUCUUAAGAAAAACUCACUCAGAACUCUGAUAUGUUAACAGUACUAAAUAAAUCAAUAAAUACAUGCAUACACACAAAAAUAAGUUAAUACAUGAACUGUGUUAAGAUAAGAUUUAGAUUUUUAAAAAAAGUUGUUUAUGUUUUUGCAGAAUCCAGUAUUGCACACUGGUUGGUCAUUACAUUUUGUUAGUUUGAUUUCACUGUUUAAAAUGAUGCCACCUCUUUUCAGACAGAACCUGUGAUAAUAAAACAAUACAAAAUUUUAGUUCCAUGUUAAUAAAGCACUUAAAGCUUUAA